AGGGAACGCGGGCGGUAGGCCUAACACAGGCAAGUCGAACGGCAGCACAGUAAGAGCUUGCUCUUACGGGUGGCGAGUGGCGGACGGGUGAGGAAUACAUCGGAAUCUACUUUUUCGUGGGGGAUAACGUAGGGAAACUUACGCUAAUACCGCAUACGACCUACGGGUGAAAGCAGGGGAUCUUCGGACCUUGCGCGAUUGAAUGAGCCGAUGUCGGAUUAGCUAGUUGGCGGGGUAAAGGCCCACCAAGGCGACGAUCCGUAGCUGGUCUGAGAGGAUGCUCAGCCACACUGGAACUGAGACACGGUCCAGACUCCUACGGGAGGCAGCAGUGGGGAAUAUUGGACAAUGGGCGCAAGCCUGAUCCAGCCAUACCGCGUGGGUGAAGAAGGCCUUCGGGUUGUAAAGCCCUUUUGUUGGGAAAGAAAAGCAGCAGGUUAAUACCCCGCUGUUCUGACGGUACCCAAAGAAUAAGCACCAACUCACUUCGUC
rnacentral:rRNA from 1 species